rnacentral:rRNA from 1 species
GGCAGGGUGAGUCGACCCCUAAGGCGAGGCCGAAAGGCGUAGUCGAUGGGAAACAGGUUAAUAUUCCUGUACUUGGUGUUACUGCGAAGGGGGGACGGAGAAGGCUAUGUUAGCCGGGCGACGGUUGUCCCGGUUUAAGCAUGUAGGCUGGUUAUCCAGGCAAAUCCGGAUAAUCAAGGCUGAGGUGUGAUGACGAGGCACUACGGUGCUGAAGUAACAAAUGCCCUGCUUCCAGGAAAAGCCUCUAAGCAUCAGGUAACAUCAAAUCGUACCCCAAACCGACACAGGUGGUCAGGUAGAGAAUACCAAGGCGCUUGAGAGAACUCGGGUGAAGGAACUAGGCAAAAUGGUGCCGUAACUUCGGGAGAAGGCACGCUGGUGUGUAGGUGAAGUCCCUGCGGAUGGAGCUGAGACCAGUCGAAGAUACCAGCUGGCUGCAACUGUUUAUUAAAAACACAGCACUGUGCAAACACGAAAGUGGACGUAUACGGUGUGACGCCUGCCCGGUGCCGGAAGG